GAGACAGCAGUAGCCGCGGGAAUACGGAGGGUGCAAGCGUUAAUCGGAAUUACUGGGCGUAAAGCGCACGCAGGCGGUCUGACAAGUCAGAUGUGAAAUCCCCGGGCUUAACCUGGGAACUGCAUUUGAAACUGUCAGGCUGGAGUCUUGUAGAGGGGGGUGGAAUUCCAGGUGUAGCGGUGAAAUGCGUAGAGAUCUGGAGGAAUACCGGUGGCGAAGGCGGCCCCCUGGACAAAGACUGACGCUCAGGUGCGAAAGCGUGGGGAGCAAACAGGAUUAGAUACCCGUGUAGUCCCUGUCUCUUAUAC
rnacentral:rRNA from 1 species